UAAGGAAUAUUGGACAAUGGGCGGAAGCCUGAUCCAGCCAUGCCGCGUGAAGGAUGAAGGCGCUCAGCGUUGUAAACUUCUUUUGGAUGGGGACAAUAAUCUCGAUUUAUCGGGACUUGAGGGUACCAUCAGAAUAAGCACCGGCUAACUCCGUGCCAGCAGCCGCGGUAAUACGGAGGGUGCAAGCGUUAUCCGGAAUCACUGGGUUUAAAGGGUGCGUAGGCUGUUAGAUAAGUCAGUUGUGAAAUUC
rnacentral:rRNA from 1 species